AGCCCCGUGGUGUAGUGGCAACAUAUUGGCCUUUGGAGCCAACGUCGGCGGUUCAAAUCCGCCCGGGGCUG
rfam:Thermoplasmatales archaeon SM1-50 WOR1_30_36_448, whole genome shotgun sequence.